rnacentral:pre_miRNA from 1 species
GGAUGAUGAUGACGAUGAUGACGAUGACGAGGAUGAUGAUGAUGACGAUGAUGAUGAUGAUCAUCAUCAUCAUCAUCAUCAUCAUCAUAAUAAUAA